rnacentral:tRNA from 1 species
GCUAAUUUAGUUUAUUAAAGAAUUUGUAACUUGUAAUUACAGGGAUUGAAUUAGCUU